rnacentral:rRNA from 1 species
GACGAACCGUGCGAACGUUGUUCGGAAUCACUGGGCUUAAAGGGCGCGUAGGCGGUCCGCCCAGUCUCGGGUGAAAUCUUUCGGCCCAACCGGAAAAGGGCCCGGGAUACUGGCGGACUCGAGGGGGGUAGGGGCGGACGGAACUUCCGGUGGAGCGGUGAAAUGCGUUGAUAUCGGAAGGAACGCCGGUGGCGAAAGCGGUCCGCUGGACCCCUUCUGACGCUGAGGCGCGAAAGCCAGGGGAGCGAACGGG